GAUGAACGCUAGCGACAGGCCUAACACAUGCAAGUCGAGGGGCAGCACAAGGAGUAAUCUGAGGUGGCGACCGGCGCACGGGUGAGUAACACGUAUGCAACCUACCUGUAAGCGGGGAAUAACCCGGCGAAAUUCGGUCUCAUACCGCAUAAUACUGUAUUUCUGCAUGGGAAUACAUUUAAACAUUUAUGGCUUACAGAUGGGCAUGCGUAUGAGUAGCUAGUUGGUGAGGUAACGGCUCACUAAGGCAACGAUCAUUAGGGGUUCUGAGAGGAAGGUCCCCCACACUGGUACUGAGACACGGGCCAGACUCCUACGGGAGGCAGCAGUGAGGAAUAUUGGUCAAUGGGCGAGAGCCUGAACCAGCCAAGUCGCGUGAAGGAAGAAGGUUCUAUGGAUUGUAAACUUCUUUUGUAAGGGAAUAAAAAGCGGCACGUGUGCUGUAUUGUAUGUACUUUACGAAUAAGGAUCGGCUAACUCCGUGCCAGCAGCCGCAGUAAUAC
rnacentral:rRNA from 1 species